UUUAGAGCAAAUUUACCUCAAAAAUUAUAAGAUAUAAAUGUUCUACUCAUUAUUAUUUAGUGAGGAAUGAACAUUAAAGAUAAAACAUUUCAUGAGGAAGGAUCGUGAUGUAAAC
rfam:Camelus ferus unplaced genomic scaffold scaffold508, whole genome shotgun sequence.